GGUGAUGUGUGGGAAAUAAUGAUAUGGCAUAUGAGCUCCCACCUAGCACAGCCACCAUCAAAAUGCCACGUUCUAAUGCAAUGGGCUCAGAAGUGACCCAGGUCACAAUGUGAGAACUUGCUGUCACAGGCUGAACUUCAGAUGGAGGUUUUGGAGUGCAGGAUGCCUGGCCCAGCCAGAGAAACAACCAGCUCAUAGGAGCACCAGCUCCUGGUGUAACUAGGAACCAAACUUGGAGGUCACACGGAUCCUAAAAGUAAUAGGGGAAUGCCACCACAGGCAGCGUGUCUGGGAGGGCAGGUUGCUGUGACAGAUGGACAGGAGCUGCUCAGAGAAAUGGCUUUUGAUGGGCAAUUUGCUGCGAGUUGGUGGAGCUUUUACAAAGUCACAAGUGGAAGGAAUUAGAGUCAAUCCUCUUGCAAACACUGGGAAGCUGAAAGCCUGGACCAAGCUUUUGUAAGGCUCUGCUCAAAAUCCCACCACUGUCACCACUGCCUGUGGCUGUUUCUUUGCUGAUCCCAUCCAUGCACUGGGGACAUGGAACAGUAACCAGGGCAGGAAAUACAAUUUAUGGGGUCCUCUGUGGGUCAG